GCUGACCUGGGUAAUACUUAUUAUGUCUUGUUGGUAUUCCUUAUUAUUAUUGUCUGGCUUAAUCACUAUAAACUUUACAAACUUUAAUUUUCUGAUAAUAAGUCUCCCAUUUCUUUAAACGAACAACACAUAUCUCAAUCGCGCUUCCCAUUUCUUUAAACCAACUCAUCGUCUCCCCUGUAACCUCCUCCCGUCCUCCAUCAUGAGUCUGUUGAUCUCGUCCUCCCUCUCUCCGUCGUCCUCUCUCUUCGAGGAACCCUUACUUGCCCAGUCCUUUCUCUCCCUCCCCCCUUCGAUCUCGUAUCGGGGGAGGUUCGGGUUCGGCCCCUCGUCGGUGGCCGACUCAAUGAUCGUGGUGAACACGCCGAGCCAGGAUCUGGUCCUCACCAACUUCGCCUACUGCUCCUCCACGGAUCUUGACUAGUACGCCGCACCCGGGUCCAAGAACGUCCUCGUCCUCGUCCUCGUCCUCGUCCUCGUCCUCGUUGGAUAUUCGGCCUUUCAAAUAGGGAGUGAGAUAUCAGCAUCAACUGCAAAGCUUCUUUGAUGCUGUCCCAUCUUCAUCAUCACUACAGUAAGAUGACUUGGAUGAGGCCUCCAAAGGAGGGGUGAAGUCGACGAUACGAACGAUGUUGGAUAGGCCUCGGAAGGAAGGGUAUGUGUCUUGGUACUUGAGGAGGUCGGUGGCAACCAUGGAACUCAGAGUCUAAGCAUAAAUUCUUCCCUUUGAGGCCUCAUCCAACAUCGCUCAAUAGCCGAAUGCUCAUGGACACCCUCUUUCGUGAAUCAGGAAGAACAUAUUUUUGCAACCCAAAGCAGAAGUUGAAUAGACAAAAGUCGUCCUACUGAAUCACUAUUAUUACGUGAUCAAACAUGCAUGAUUCAUGCAUCGCAAGAAUACGAAGUUUCAGUUCAUGAAUCGUGCAUGUUUGUUCACGUAACAGUAGUGAUUCGGUUGAAAGGAGAGUAGUUAUCACCUGAAACCAAAUUAAUACUAAUAAUUCUUUAUUUAUUAUGAUAACAGUACAAAUGUAGACAAGGCUGACACAACCCUAUCCCAUCUGAUAUCAUGACAGACUGAUAUCAUGACAAUAUAUCCACUCUUUAUAUAUUGUCAUUACUAGCUAAGAAGCUGUCACUGGCCACAUCGGCAGUCAACACAGGCGCAGGAAGGACCACACUUGCAGUCUCCCUCCGUCUCGGCAGCUGCUGGGGCAUCGACUACACCAUCCAAGUAGCUGUAAGAGAUGACAUGAAAGAAACGUAAGUAGUUACUCUGCUUUAGAUGGCUUACUUUUAAUCAUCCUUACUAAUUCAUCAAGAGGUAAUAUGUGUUAGUCUCAGAGAACCCCUCGCUCUCUCUCUCUCUCUCCUAAUCAAAUUAAAAGAAUUUGCAGACCAUAAGAUUCUCGUGUUCCUGAAAAUUAUAAGGUAAAGUGGGCAACGGGAUAUGCCGCCCAUCGGUAGGUUUGAUCAUUAUGCUUCGACUUUGAAAAUAGUUUUAAGCUAUGGCAUCACUCAAAAAGAAAUAAUCGCAGAUAUAUUCUCUGUUUUUUUUUUUCCUUCUUUUUUGAGUUGUUUUUUCAAGAAUAAAAGGAUCAUGUUUGCUGAGUCAUCAUGUUGUGUGGAAUUUCAUCAUGCGGACAAGAUACUCCCACACCCUCACCCAUGAGAGAGAUCAAUAAUACCUCUUCUCGGUCUCAACAGUCUCGAUAGCGUAGCUGUUUCCCUUCUUCCUGCAGGAGCAAACCCGAGUUCUUGUGGUCAAUAUUAAACUCAACCCUCAGCAUAUUUGCUGUGUGUAUGGCAGAGCGGUGGGAGGGCGGGGAGGAAGAGAACUUACACGCACUGGCUCUUGUCAGCGCAGUCGCAGUUGCCGCAGGUCGACAUGGCGAGAAGCAACAAGCACAACGGCUCAACAAAUUAUGGAGUGGUAUGCGUUCCUGGUUAGAAGCUUUCGCUCGGUCGGGGGGGGGUUUAUUUAUAGCCGGAGACGGCCCGAUUACGUGAGGGAUUGGAGCGACGGACCACAUUCAGUCUGUGCUCCACACACGCCACCGGGAGAAGCAUCCAAAGGAAUCUCCAUUAUGGGAGAGCGGUAAACUUCCUUCCACCUCUCGUGUCAGCAUCAUCUUCCUGAUCUUUUUUUUGUGUUUCCCCUUCCCGAUGCGGGGUAGAAAGGCAGACCGCUUUGACACGGAAGCUUUCUUUUCUUUCGCGUCUUCUCGUGUCUGAGUGCGGUGAUCGUGUUCAGUCGGCCUCUUUUACUUUGGAUUCCAAGUCUGGUUUAGUUAGAUCAGACUUUGACACGGAAGCUCUCUUGUACGUCGUAUUCGUCCUCUGUACUUUGGGUUAUAAUUCUGGAGUCCAAUAGGUAAUUCGUUCA